rnacentral:rRNA from 1 species
UACGUAGGGUGCAAGCGUUAAUCGGAAUUACUGGGCGUAAAGCGUGCGCAGGCGGCUUUGCAAGACAGAUGUGAAAUCCCCGGGCUUAACCUGGGAACUGCAUUUGUGACUGCAUGGCUGGAGUGCGGCAGAGGGGGAUGGAAUUCCGCGUGUAGCAGUGAAAUGCGUAGAGAUGUGGAGGAACACCGAUGGCGAAGGCAGCCCCCUGGGCUAGCACUGACGCUCAGGCACGAAAGCGUGGGGAGCAAACAGG